rnacentral:lncRNA from 1 species
CUGGAACUACAGCCGCGCACCAUUGUGCCUGGCUUUCUUUUUAUUUUAAAUUUUUUGUACAAACAGUGUCUCCCUGUAUUGCCCAGGCUGGUCUCAAACUCCUGUCCCGCCUUGGCCUCCCAAAGUGCUGGAAUUAUAGGCAUAAGCCACCGCGUGCAGACACAACUAUCUUUUCAGUGGCAAUCAUCUUCUGAUCUGUUGGCUUUAUUGUGGCUCCAAUUUCCUGUUAAUACACUAUAUUUUAAAAUAAUCAGUACCAUUUGUACUUGGAGAAAGGACUGCGGGGGAGUGGGGAGACAGCCCAGGGUGUCGCAUGAGAGUCUUCUUCUCUGUAAGGGCAACAGUGGAGCAUUUGUUCAUCUAACGUUAAUACCCUUGAGAGUCAGGCAUCACACUCAGCUGCCCUCUGAUAUUCCCACCAGGGUGCUUCACAGGGUCUCACUGCACUGUACAAAACCGAACCCUAGAGCUCUCCUCCUCAACACACACACACACACACACACCACAUACCAUACCACACCACAUACACACACACACACACACCACAUACACACACACCACAGACACACCACAUACACACACACACCACAUACACACACACCACAUACACACCAUAUACACACACACACACCACAUACACACCAAAUACACACACACCACAUACACACACACACACCACAUACACACACACACCACAUACACACACACACAUACCACAUACACACACCACACAUACACACACACACCAUACACACACACCACAUACACACCACAUACACACACACACCACAUACACACCACAUACACACACACCUGAUACACACACACCACAUACACACACACCACAUACACACACACACCACACACCAUAUACACACACAUACCACAUACACACACACACCACAGACACACCAUAUACACACAUACCACAUACACACCACAUACACAUACACACCACAUACACACAUACCACAUACACACCACAUACACAUACACACCACAUACACACCACAGACACACACACACACCACACACACACACCACUUCAAUAUGCAAUGA